rnacentral:lncRNA from 1 species
AUGGAGCAGAAACAACAUGGUGGUCAGAUGGAGAAACAACAUGGUGGUCAGAUGGAGAAAAACAUGGUGGUCGAAUGGAGCAGAAACAACAUGGUGGUCAGAUGGAGAAAAACACAUGGUGGUCAGAUGGAGAAACAACAUGGUGGUCAGAAUGGAGCAGAAACAACAUGGUGGUCAGAUGGAGUCAGACAACAUGGUGGUCAGAUGGGAAGAAACAACUGGUGGUCAGAUGGAGCAGAAAAACAACAUGGUGGUCAGAUGGAGCAGAAACAACAUGGUUAUGAGAUGAUGAGAAACAACAUGGUGGUCAGAUGGAGAAACAACAUGGUGGUCAGAUGGAGCAGAAAACAACAGUGUGGUCAGAUGGAGAAGAAACACACAUGGGGGUCAGAUGGAAAGAAACACAUGGUGGUCGAUGGAGAAGAAACAACAUGGUGGUCAGAUGGAAAAACAACAUGCAGAAACAACAUGUGGUCAGAAACACAUGAUGGUCAGAUGGAGAAGAAACAACAUGGUGGUCAAAUGGAGCAGAAACAACAUGGUGGUCAGAUGAUGCAGAAACAACAUGGUGGUCAGAUGGAGCAGAAACAACAUGGUGGUCAGAUGGAGCAGAAACAACAUGUGGUCAGAUGGAGCAGAAACA